rnacentral:rRNA from 1 species
AUUGAACGCUGGCGGCAGGCCUAACACAUGCAAGUCGAGCGGAGCGGCGGACGGGUGAGUAAUGCCUAGGAAUCUGCCUGGUAGUGGGGGAUAACGUCCGGAAACGGGCGCUAAUACCGCAUACUAUCAGAUGAGCCUAGGUCGGAUUAGCUAGUUGGUGGGGUAAAGGCCUACCAAGGCGACGAUCCGUAAAUGGUCUGAGAGGAUGAUCAGUCAAACUGGAAAUGGAACAACGGCCCAGAUCCUUCGGGGGGCGUGAGUGGGGAAGUAUGGACAAAGGGCGAAAGGCUGAUCCAACCCUGGCGGGUGUGUGAAAGAGGGCUUCGGAUUGUAAAGCACUGUAAGUUGGGAGGCGUUACCAACAGAAUAAGCACCGGCUAACUUCGUGCCAGCAGCCGCGGUAAUUC